rnacentral:rRNA from 1 species
ACGGAGGGUCCUAGCGUUGUUCGGAAUUACUGGGCGUAAAGGGCGCGUAGGCGGCCUGUUAAGUCGGGUGUGAAAGCCCGGGGCUCAACCCCGGAACGGCAUCCGAGACUGGCGGGCUCGAGACCGGGAGAGGAGAGUGGAAUACCCAGUGUAGAGGUGAAAUUCGUAGAUAUUGGGUGGAACACCGGUGGCGAAAGCGGCUCUCUGGCCCGGUUCUGACGCUGAGGCGCGAAAGCGUGGGGAGCAAACAGG